CAUUGGCCAGGAGACAUGAAAGAAAGGGAUGCAUGAAAUAGGACGGCAAAGGUAUUUAGUCUGAGCAACUGGAAGGAUGGAGUUGACCUGGCCAGAGAUCCUGAGAUAGUGGGGCCUGUGGGAGUGACCCACAACUUGCUGAAUGCCUAAAUCUCAAGUCUUGGGAAAAACAAUGCUUCCUCUCAAGAUCAGCUGAAUGAAACGAGCAACUUCUAAUCUGAUCGUCAAGCAUGGCAGAGGAGGUUUACAGUGGAGCCAAGGCUGCCAUGGGUGUGCGGGGAUGUGGAGCUGGUGCCUGCCUGGCUGUGGAAGGGGCCCUCUGUGCACCCUGGGACACGAUCUGCUGUGCGUCGUGUUGGCACGUCCCCAUGCAUGUUACUGGGUGGACCAGGAUGCCUCGCUGGGAGAGUCUCAAAACCCGCAGAUCUCAGAAGUGCCACUUGCCUUGACGUGUGCAUUGGCCUCGCCCCACUCCUUGGUCCCUCUCACAAACCACCUCUUCACUUGAAGACCUCUUCUCUCCAAAUCCACUUGCCAACAAGCCCAGCUAAGUUCGUUAAGAUUUAAGGACAUGGGGAACACAUGGAGUUCAGAUAAUAUUUUCUUAAAAAAAGAAAAAACCAAACAACCCAAACCAAUCGCACUCACUUGUUGAGCACUUGCUGUAUACCGGGCCAUUACAUAGGCUGCCUUCUUCCUGAGGCAUGCGGGCCUCAGGUUGUCACCUACCCUCCACGCCCUCCAGGAAAGAGACUUGCAAAUCAAAUAGGUCAUUCACAACCGGGAUACAAACCUGAGCUUUUGAUUGGACUAGUUGUAGCUACCAGAGAGUUCUCUCUGGGGACGGGAAAGCAGGAAUAGUUACUUGUAUUUGCAUAAGCAAACACUGGAAGGACACUUAGAAGCUAAUAUCAUUACAUAUGGCAGCGGGAGUGGGGAGGAAUGGAGGUUUUGGGGGUGAGAACUCUCAAAGUAUAUCCUCCCAUAUUACUUUGAUCUUCGAACCAUUUAGAUCUAUUACCUAAUUUUUAAAACAAAUGAGAUGAAAUUUUAACUGUUCACUUUUUUCCCUCCUGAUAGAGGAAAAUGAGUAGAUGAGCUUGAUGGCUGAGCUGAAAAUUUUUUGAUGUCCAGAAUGUGUGUGGGCCUUAUUUUCCAUAAAG